ACGAUCAGUAGCUGGUCUGAGAGGACGACCAGCCACACUGGGACUGACACACGGCCCAGACUCCUACGGGAGGCAGCAGUGGGGAAUUUUGGACAAUGGGGGAAACCCUGAUCCAGCCAUGCCGCGUGAGUGAAGAAGGCCUUCGGGUUGUAAAGCUCUUUCAGCCGGAACGAAAAGGUCACGGCUAAUACCUGUGACUAAUGACGGUACCGGAAGAAGAAGCACCGGCUAACUACGUGCCAGCAGCCGCGGUAAUACGUAGGGUGCAGGCGUUAAUCGGAAUUACUGGGCGUAAAGCGUGCGCAGGCGGUUUUGUAAGUCAGAU
rnacentral:rRNA from 1 species